AUUGAACGCUGGCGGCAGGCCUAACACAUGCAAGUCGAGCGGAUGAAGGGAGCUUGCUCCUGGAUUCAGCGGCGGACGGGUGAGUAAUGCCUAGGAAUCUGCCUGGUAGUGGGGGAUAACGUCCGGAAAUGGGCGCUAAUACCGCAUACGUCCUGAGGGAGAAAGUGGGGGAUCUUCGGACCUCACGCUCUCAGAUGAGCCUAGGUCGGAUUAGCUAGUUGGUGGGGUAAAGGCCUACCAAGGCGACGAUCCGUAACUGGUCUGAGAGGAUGAUCAGUCACACUGGAACUGAGACACGGUCCAGACUCCUACGGGAGGCAGCAGUGGGGAAUAUUGGACAAUGGGCGAAAGCCUGAUCCAGCCAUGCCGCGUGUGUGAAGAAGGUCUUCGGAUUGUAAAGCACUUUAAGUUGGGAGGAAGGGCAGUAAGUUAAUACCUUGCUGUUUUGACGUUACCAACAGAAUAAGCACCGGCUAACUUCGUG
rnacentral:rRNA from 1 species